rnacentral:rRNA from 1 species
GACGAACGCUGGCGGCGUGCUUAACACAUGCAAGUCGAACGAUGAAGAAGAGCUUGCUCUUCGGAUUAGUGGCGAACGGGUGAGUAACACGUGACUAACCUGCCCCUUUCUCUGGGAUAACGCUCCGAAAGGAGUGCUAAUACCGGAUACUCACAUCGAGGCACAUGCCUUGAUGUGGAAAGUUUUUCGGAAAGGGAUGGAGUCGCGGCCUAUCAGCUUGUUGGUGAGGUAACGGCUCACCAAGGCGACGACGGGUAGCCGGCCUGAGAGGGCGAGCGGCCACACUGGGACUGAGACACGGCCCAGACUCCUACGGGAGGCAGCAGUGGGGAAUAUUGCACAGUGGGCGAAAGCCUGAUGCAGCGACGCCGCGUGAGGGGUGAAGGCCUUCGGGUUGUAAACCUCUUUUAGCAGGGAAGAAGCGAAAGUGACGGUACCUGCAGAAAAAGCACCGGCUAACUACGUGCCAGCAGCCGCCGCAG